rnacentral:rRNA from 1 species
UUGUCAUGCCAAUGGCACUGCCCGGUAGCUAAAUGCGGAAGAGAUAAGUGCUGAAAGCAUCUAAGCACGAAACUUGCCCCGAGAUGAGUUCUCCCUGAGACUUUAAGUCUCCUGAAGGAACGUUAAAGACGAUGACGUUGAUAGGCCGGGUGUGUAAGCGCAGCGAUGCGUUGAGCUAACCGGUACUAAUGAACCGUGAGGCUUAACCUUACAACGCCGAAG